rnacentral:lncRNA from 12 species
AUGCGGCCUCCGUGUGCGCGUGCCUUGCCCUGCCAGCACCCGGCGGCCGGCGGGGGGGGGGGGUCUCCCUGCGCGUGGCGGGCCGUACCCCCCGACGUGUGGCCGCCUUCAGUCCCAAGCCGACCUGCUCGGAACGAAACACUGAAAUGGCUCCUUAGUGGCGUUUACGUUCGUUACCCGACGACACCUCAUCGCCCGCGUGGAUGCAGUGAGCACCCUGGGGUUUGCCCUUCCCGUGGGGUUACUUGGGAGCGUGAAAGCACAUGUGGGGCUCGCAUCUCGCCUCCGUGGAGCAGCACUGCCCCCGGCGCACCCUCACCGGUGACCCGGAGGUCGGUGCUUGUCUGCGCCCGGGCGGCCGCCGCAGGGAGUCCCGUGCACCCUCCGCAUCGCCCUCGGGGCUUCCACCCGGUGGCUUGGUCCUGGCAGGACAGGCUCAGGGAACGAGGCGAGGAAGGCGCGUCCCACUCACGUUGGGGUCCGGCCGGGAAUGCUACCGCAGGCGACGCCAGCACCCUCGGGGCCGGGCACAGGAUGCCGCCUGCCCAGGGUGCGGGGCCACGUGGGCCGAGACGCCCCGUCGCCCGUCAGGAGCCAGCAGAGGCUGCACCCGGGAGCACGAGCGCUCGGAUCCCGGGGCUGCGCCCGCCCCUGCACCCACCUGCCUCACCGUGUUCGCUUGACUCUUUCAGGUUCGUCCCCGCUUCCCGCCUGAAGGCGACGGUGGCCCACAGCACGUCCGACCGUCGGGCUGGCCCGUUCGCCAUCUCUCCCGAGGACACCCCAUGCUGUCGCCCCUUUCCCUGCUUGGGAUCACUUCCGUUGUGCGAGGCCGCUAGAGCUUCCCGUCCUCCGCGACGUGGCCGUCCCUGCCUGUCCCUGCCGUCUGGGGCCCGCCCCGCUCCGACCCCGUUGUGUGGUUCGCUGUCUCGGCCGCGGCCAGUCUGCUUCCCCGCUGCUCCGUCGGCGUUGUCUUUACCCCCGAACGGGCCGGUGUGGGAUGGCAGUCACGCCGCGGUCCCGGACAGCCUCACAGGGCCACGGCGCCCAGGCCGUCCUUGCAGUGCCGCGCGGCGGCUGAGCGCAGAGGCCCUCCGUCAAGCAGGAAGGCGCGUGGACGCCGCUCUUGGUCGUGGUCGCGUGAGGCACCUGUUCAGAUACCAGCUCCUGGCCCGCCCCGGGGCCGUUCCCAUCAUCAGGUGCAGGGAGGAGCCCGGGAGCGUGGAGCACGGGCUCCCUGGAUUGCUCUGCGUCUGCAGCCACUUGCUGUGGAAAGGAGAGACUCAUAUGAGACUGCUUGAGCCCUGGCCUGCUACCUCUGGGCUCGUAUGAGCCCCACCUACCUGAGCCUCAGUUUCUCCACCCGUGAAAUGGGAAUAUGUUUGAUUUGUGGCCUGCCAAGGUCUAAAGGCUGAUGUACGUGCCUGUGUUUUAUAAAUCGUAAAAGAUAAUUAAAGUGCAUUAAUCAGUGGUGGGGCUGCGGCCGGCCGGUGUGGAGAGAGGGGCAGGUCCUUCGUGGCCGUGGGCCUGGCUCUGGGGGAGGAAGAGCGGUGGGUAGUCGCGUGGUCGUCCCGGCGGGACCAAGCAGAGCAGCAGAGGUCGCAGCGCCUGCUGGUUGGGCUGCCCGUUUUGCGCCCGACUGCGCCCGGCACUGUGCUGCCUUCCGUGGGAUUACUCCACGUCCACGCCAAGGCCGUCGCGUCGGUCGCAUCUGUAGCAGCUCGACC